rnacentral:lncRNA from 1 species
GAGCUCCAUCCACCCACGUCUGAGUGAAGUCAUAGGGGCCGACAGAGCAUCUCAGGCUCUAUGCAUAACUCCCUUCACCAUUUCUGGCGAAGGUUCACAAUAUCCCACAAACACCAGAGUACAAAAGGAUAGUAUGAACAAUGAAUAGCACAUAUCGGAAGCACACGCGGAACAACAAAAUGUACAUGUGCCUUUACGAGUCAAUACGAAGUAAGCAAUAAUCUUUCACAAUUAUAUUCAGAUUUGAAAGGAAUUGAAAGCAAGGGCACACAUGGAAUCCAAGCAAUCACAUACAACUCAAUUCAAAUAAGAAGGUUAGAUGAAUUCGAUAUCCAAAAGAAUGAAACUAGAAUAGGCACACAUCGAAAGCAAAUGCGGAACAAUGGGUUAUACAUGUGCUUAUA